rnacentral:rRNA from 1 species
CUACAAAGGAAGUUCGACGGGGCCCGCACAAGCAGCGGAGCGUGUGGUUUAAUUCGAUGUUACACGAAGAACCUUACCAGGGUUUGACAUGCAGGUGGUAGUGAAGCGAAAGCGGAACGACUCUUCGGAGAGCCUGCACAGGUGCUGCAUGGCUGUCGUCAGCUCGUGUCGUGAGAUGUCGGUUAAGUCCGCUAACGAGCGCAACCCCUGCCGUGUGUUACAAGUGCCACACGGGACUGCCGGUCUUAAGCCGGAGGAAGGUGGGAUGACGUCAAGUCAGCAUGGCCUUUAUAUCCUGGGCUACACACACGCUACAAUGGGUGGUACAACAGGUUGCGAAACCGCGAGGUGGAGCCAAUCCUCAAAGCCCAUCCUCAGUUCAGAUUGUAGGCUGCAACUCGCCUGCAUGAAGAUGGAGUUGCUAGUAACCGCAGGUCAGCUAUACUGCGGUGAAUACGUUCCCGGGCCUU